GCGUCGGCCACCUUGUAGGGUCCCUCCCAGUUUGGGGAUAAUUUUCCCUGAUCCGAGGGUUUCGAGACCUCUGCCCUUCUCAAGACCAGGUCUCCAUGUCGAAAGAGCUUUGGCUUUACCCUGGCGUUGUAAUAUCGGGCCACCUUUUGUCAGUAAGAAGCCAUACGAAGUUGGGCCUCGCGGCGGAGCUCGGGCAGGAGGUCCAAGUCGGCCCUCCGACACUCGGAGUUCUCCGGCUCACGAUAUUGCUCGACCCUAGUUGAUGGCAAUCCGAUCUCCAGCGGGAUCAUGGCUUCCGUUCCAUAGGCCAAGCUGAAAGGUGAUUCUCCGAUCGGGAUACGGGGUGUCGUCCGGUACGCCCACAGGAUGGAGUUCAGCUCUUCGACCCAGAGGCCCUUGGCUUCAUUCAGUCGGGUUUUGAGCCCGU
rnacentral:lncRNA from 1 species